rfam:Enterobacter sp. 638, complete genome.
CGCGGGGUGGAGCAGCCUGGUAGCUCGUCGGGCUCAUAACCCGAAGGUCGUCAGUUCAAAUCUGGCCCCCGCAA